CUUUUAAACGUUUUUUUUAACGAUAAAUAAUAACUAGCACCUCAACCUGAUACGCUUCCUGCAUAAAGUGGGCAACUUUAUGGCCCCAGUGCGGGUAAUAACUAUUUUUGACUGAUGUUGGAAGAGAAACAAGUGCCUUGUUGCAUUUGCGGGCAACAAAGAGUUGAUGUAAACAAACAUCAAAUUAUAAAUAAAAGUGGCAAAUCUGUGCCAGUUCAUAAAUAUAUAUAUAUAUAUAAACAUUUUUGUGGCUGCCAGAAUAUUGCAUUCACCCACUUAAAAUUUACAUUUAUUUUCAAUUCUUUUCAAAUGUAGUAUUAAGUGCACACUGAAUGUCCUAAACGUAAGAGCGAUAGCAAACAAUGCUCUCGAAAAGGAAAGUAGCAAAUAUCAGAUCUCAAAGUCAACGCGACAUGUUCAAGUUUACAAAAGCUACACCACAAAGCGACAGGAAAGAAAAUCAAUAUGCAAAGGUUCAUCGAAGUCUGGAUACCCUUGCAGACGAAAGCUAGAGCAUAAGAACCCUAAAUAUUUCAUUAAACCGUUUCCCAACAAUGCUCUUACAAGUCCGUAAGGAAUUCUAAAAAAAAAAACUUUUUUUAAUGUUUCACUGACAGCAGUAAAAAGUACAGUUUCCUUCGGUUUGUUGCGUGCUGCAAACAUUUUGUAUUCAUAUAUUUUUCGAUUCAACAAGCAUAUCAUAAUUCAUUAAAAUUUGGCUCUCAAUUUGCAAUGCACUGCGCAAGCGAGUAGAAUAAGUGAGUAAAUCAAACAAGGCGAAAUUGCAAAUUUUAAAAUGCAAAAACAAUCAAGAGUCGUAAACAUUCAAGUGUUUACUUAAGCUGCUGUUAAAUCAGCUGUUUGCCGUAAAAUGCAACUGCCAAUCGGAAUUGACUUCAUUUAGUUAAGUGCAAAUUAUUUUGUGACCCAAUUAUGCACACUCUGCUACUAUUUAAUCGAUUAAUUAGCAUCCAUGAAUGAGUAUUCACUUCGAGUAGUGAAUAACAAAUGCAUUCAAGUGUGCAGUCACAAGACUUAACACCCGUUGCCUCAAGUGAAAUUGAAAUUAGUAACGAGUUUAGCUUUAACCCUGAGCUAGGGUCUCAAAAUUUGUUGCUUAUCACAGUUUAUUAAAGUUGUAUACCCUGCUUACAACGAGAAAA